ensembl:snoRNA small nucleolar RNA, H/ACA box 2B
UUGGCCCUGAAUCAAGGCCUACAGUUUGUUGGAACUGUUGGUUUCAAACAGGAGCCUAAAAAAUGUCAUCCUAAGGUUUUCUGGCCAUUUCAGAAUGUUAUGGGAAAUGGUCAAUCCAUUAGGAAGAAACACUU